UUUAUAUUCAAUUCAGUUGAAUGACUUAUGAACAAGUGUAGGAUGCACUUAUAAAGUAGAGAACAAUGACAUUCUCUUGACUCUAAAGUAGAGAACUAUAACAUGCUUAUGACCAUGUUGAUAGUGCCAUAAUAGUGGAAAGAUUAUAAUGCCAUGUGAUUUAGCAUUACUCUUACAUGUUUAUAAUCUAGUGGAUACUAGCUCUUGUUACUUUUUAUGUAUUGAAAUUCCGAUCAGAGGAUCGAGGGUAAGAACAUUGCAAAUGAAAACACAUGUGGACAGUAGAAUAUGCUUGCUUGCCAUCGUGCUCAUUCGCACACGCUUGUGAGGGUCGCUCCCUGCAAGCCGGCACUCCGGAGUUGGCCUACUCGACAGUUGCUCGCCCGUGCGGGAUUGGGUGCCGAAGUGGAUUGCCGUGGGGAGUGCAUACUACCACGGGGCCAUUAGGCGCGGCACAAGCUGGACUACCUUGAGUAGAUCCCUGUGAAUGAAAGGAAAGUGGUAAAAGAAGUUGGACAGUAAUGAAUGAUAAUCGCCGAGGCUGGCGGCUUACCCACUGGGAACUAUAGUUUAUAGUUCUUACAGAGCCAGCUACAGGAGAGGCUAGGGAUCGUGGCAAGGGAGUCGCGUCUAGCCAGACAUUGCUAGGAGCAUUCUAGUCGAUCACCUUGCUACUCGGACUACGGCCGAGGGUGAUGUCCCUAUGUAUAGAGAGACCACCAUUGUACCUAUUCUUUUGUAUACCCCGU
rnacentral:lncRNA from 1 species